CCUACGGGUGGCAGCAGUGAGGAAUAUUGGUCAAUGGCCGGGAGCCUGAACCAGCCAAGCCGCGUGAAGGAUGACUGUCCCACGGGUUGUAAACUUCUUUUAUAAAGGAAUAAAGUGAGGCUCGUGUGCCUUUUUGUAUGUACUUUAUGAAUAAGCAUCGGCUAACUCCGUGCCAGCAGCCGCGGUAAUACGGAGGAUCCGAGCGUUAUCCGGAUUUAUUGGGUUUAAAGGGAGCGUAGAUGGGUUGUUAAGUCAGUUGUGAAAGUGUGCGGCUCAACCGUAAAAUUGCAAUUGAUACUGGCAGCCUUGAGUACAGGUGAGGUAGGCGGAAUGCGUGGUGUAGCGGUGAAAUGCUUAGAUAUCACGAAGAACUCCGAUUGCGAAGGCAGCUUACUAAACUGCCACUGACAUUGAUGCUCGAAAGUGUGGGUAUCAAACAGGAUUAGAUACCCCAGUAGUC
rnacentral:rRNA from 1 species